GCUUAGCCCUAAACUCAGAUAGUUCCUCGAACAAAUCUAUCCGCCAGAGAACUACUAGCAACAGCUUAAAACUCAAAGGACUUGGCGGUGCUUUACAUCCCUC
rnacentral:rRNA from 1 species